CAGGAGGCUGGGGUGGGGGCUGGAUGUGGAGUCCUCCGAGGUCGGGAGGCUGGGCUCCUCCUGUUCGUCCAUAUGCAUUUCUGGCCCCUUCCCCUCCAGCCCUGAGGGAAGCCAUCCCGCAGAGAGGCGGUUCCAGGUGCAGGUGGGCCACCUCCUCGCCCUGCAUGUCCUGUCCCCAGGCUGCUGCUCUGCAUGCUGCUGCUGGGGGCUGCCCUUUCCCUGGCCCACCCUGCCGAGGGGCUCGCUGCCAGGGUCUGGGGAGGCAGGAUCUGGUGCUACAGCUGCCGGGUGUCAAGGGCAGCGGGCUGUCCUGGUAAGCAAGGGCUGACAAAGGGGCUUGCAGCAGCAGGACCAGAGGUUGGUGAGGACGAGGCUGGGACCAGAAUGAACGCUCCUCACGCAUUCGUCUAUCAGAGUCACUGAAUCCCCUUGGCCUGCCCCAGGGCCAGCGCUGGUUGCUGGGGACAGAGAUGUGGACCAGCCCACCUGGGUCCCCUGCCUCCAGGGGGGCAAGCGGGGUAACUAAGACAUGCAUGUGCAAAUCCACAAAAGUGUAACCUCCUCCGAGAAGCCCUCCCUGACCCCCUUCCCUCCUCCCUGACUGAGGUGGCUGUUGCCCCAGUGAAGAGGGAAUCAGACUGCCUAGGUUCAAGCUCUGGCUCCGCCUCUUGCUGGCCGUAGGCCCAGGCGAGUCACUCCACCGCUGAGCCCCAGUUUCCUCAUCUGUAACAGAGGGGUAACAAGAUUACAUAUGUCGUAGACUUAUUGUGAGCGUUAAAGGAAAUCCACAGGAUGGCUCCUGGGAGGGAGGAAUGCUUUCAGCAGCCACAGACCGGCUUUCAGGAGAGGCACAGUGAGCAGAAACGGCUGGCCCGCAUUCUGGAAGAAAAGGUGGAGCUGGAAACAGAAGCCCCCAGGCUGACCCAGUGGGCAGGGAGCGGAUGUGAAGGACUAGGCCACCCAAGUCACCAGGACACAAUAAAUAGCUGCCCCCUCGUAAAGAGUAUAAAGAGUACCAGGUAACCCGAGACCUCUGGGGUAGAAUUUCUGGCAGGAUUCUGCCUCUAUAAAUAGGCCUGCCCUGUUCCCCAGAGAGGCAGGCGGGCAGGAGCUGCAGGGGCGGUGGGUGCCAGGCUGGACAAAGGCCCAGGAGGCUGGGGAGCAGGGGGCAUGGCUCGCUGCGGGCCCCUGGGGACAUCUGAUCCAGGCUGGGGCUGUGUCUGCAUCUGGGUGACCUCAGGGCCAAGUGGCUGUCCGUGAGAAUUCCCAGGUGAGUUUAUUUCUUAAAAGCAUGAAUUAGAGCUGGGGACCAUAGGAGGCAAACGGAGGCAACUUAGAGGGUUCCCACCCUCUGCCAAGAACUUGGGAGCACAUAGGACAUACAAGAUAAGGGCCGUUCUUGGGAGGGCUUUUUUCCUCCCAAAUUAUUUCCCCAAAUAAUUGACUGGGGAAACAGGGGAGAAAGGGAGGCAGAUCAGCCCAGACUUUCCCAGUCUUCCUCCGGCCAAGACCCCUGCCGGGACAGCGCCACCUUGUGUGUUUGCAGGUGGCUAGACGACAAGGGGCCCCAGCGCUUCCCUGGAGGGCUGGCCUGCGCCAUCGUUGGGGGCUCCCCCAGCCACUUGCCCUUCUCCUUCAGGAAUCUCAGGGCUUCCAGGGAUCCCUAACACAGCUCCUCCAGGUCCUGCAGGAUUCAGGUUAAAGGUCUUUGCUGAGAAGCCGCAGAGUGAACUUGAACUUUGCACCAUAUGGAGCGAGGAGGCUGCUGUUGGACUGUCUCCAGGGUCAUCAGAGAUGCUCGGGGUGACCACCUGGUCCAGGCAGGACCGCGGGGCCCAUCGAUAUUCAAGGGGCCGCCUCACCCAGGAAGUUACGCAUCCCCACAGUGGGACAGCCAGUGGUCAGCGACUGACCGACAAAGGAUACAAAAGAUCAGCUGCCAUGGCAAUUGUUCCAGGCUGAUGAUACUGUUCUGCAUCUUGACAGAAGAGCAUUUUGAAGCCCGAUGCCUCCAUAGGGACAUUUGGAGACAGAAAAGCAGGAGUGGAAGAGAAAGCCGAGCGCAGCGGAGGGAUGCUACAUAAAGGCAACGGUGACCAUGGACAGAGGGCUCCCUCCCGUGCCAGGCACGAUCUGUCACCCGGAGCUUCUCACCUAGUUUUGCAAUAACCACAUGGGGUGUGGUGUCACGUCCACUUCACAGGUGAGGAAUCAAGCAUCUUACCCAAGACCUGACAGGUAACAAGUGGCAGAGGUAGAACGCCCUGAGGCUGGCAACUUCCUUGCGCUACCAUAGAAAGAGGGUCCCUAUUUAUUUCCCCUGGAUGUCCCCAAACAAAGGCGUGACAUUCCAAGAGAGCCACUCCCCUCUUCUGGCCAAGAGCCAUGGCUGCGAACCACUGAGGAGUGGAAGGGAGUCCCUGGCACCACCCUUUGCCCCCUCCCAUGCCCACCUCUCCCUCCCCACCCCAUCCAGCAGGCCCCGGCCUUGCCCUGGGUCAGGCUCCUCCUCUUGCUGAGGGUCUCCCUGCUCAGAGCAUCGUGCCUGCCUCCCCAUCACCUCACAGCACAGUCUGGCCAAAGCAGAACAAGCUGGGGGCGGGGGGCCGUCUCUCCUCCCCGCACCUGCAGACUUGGAGGACGAGGCCCCAUCGUACUCAUUUUGUACAAUGGCAGCUCUCACUUCAACAGGCAAAGGGCGGUUUUGAGGAAUGUGUCAUGGUUCCGUAGAGGUUGAGCUCAGGGGAGCUGGGUGAAGGGUCCGUGAAAACUCUCUACUGUCUUUGCCACUUUUAUUUAAAUCUGAAGUUAUUCAAAAUUAAAAGUUUAUGAAAAGAAAGAAAAAGGCAGAAUUCAGUGAAGACUGAAGAAGCCCAGGGAGCCACAGCCCACGGAGGACGGGCUCCAGCCACAUGGAUGUUGCCCGACCAGCUUUCCCAAGGCUCCGGAGUGGGACGGAGCGGAGCGGCAGAGGAAGAGCCCAAGAAACGCAGCGUCCAACCCAGGCAGGGACUCCAGCCAGAUUCAUGGGGUGGAAAAUGGGAUAUUUGCUAGCGCACGAGACACGUUUGGACAGAACUUAUUACAGAAACUUUCACACAUGGGCCAAGUAGAGAGCUGGGUAUCAUGGGCCUCAUGCACCUGUGAGCAGCACCUGUGAGGCCCGCAUGUGUCCUGAGGGGGCUGCUUCUGGGAGCAGGUUAGGGGAAUGGGGGUCUGUUAAUAGAAGCAACACCACUUCACCCUUCUCAUUAGACCUUUUAAACCAUGGCGAGGAGGUGGGGCAGGAAAUCCCCUUGCUCUCGCCAGCCCCUUGCUGUGUGAGGUGGGGCACGCUGCUCUCUGGGUCUCACCUGCCUCAGCUGGAAAUGAGGGGCUUGACCUAGAUGCUUUCCAGACCCCAAAGACAUGUCCAAAGCUGAAUUCGUUACUGGCCCCUACACCUGCUCUGGCUCCCAGGUCCCCAUCUCAGCCAAUGGCACCGCUAUCCACCCAGUUACUCAGACCAGGAACCUGGGUGUCAUUCAGACUGUUCCCCGCUUUUCACCCCUAGUCUCCUCAGUCACACAAAGAUUCUGCCCUUUCUGCCUCCUAAAUGUUUUCCACCGUGGCCAUCUUAAUCCCUGCCCCAUCCUUGUCAUCAUCAUCUCUUCUGCCUACUGCACUGGUCCCAGCCUCCCAUUGCAUCCUUAUUCUUCUUCCAUGCUGGAGCCAUGUCCAGUGGAGAUCACACUUACAUUUACAUUAAGAUGCGGACCUUGAUGCCCAAACUUCCAUCUGCUCAGUGUGAAGGAAGGUCUAUUUCCCCAAAUGUUUCUGAGAUUCUCUGUGAGCAUUUACACCCCUGAAAGCCAGUCUCCUUGACAACUCUGUGAGGGACAAAUUUGACUAUGCACCUGCUGGUCUCGCUGGGUUGAGUGUUGUGGCUGCUAUGGGUGACCGAGUGGGGGUCCACACCGCCUGGACAGUAGCUCCCUUGGGGCGCCUCUGCUGUCUGUGUCCCCACUCUUGUCACUUCUGUCCUCAUGGAGCUCUGAUGGCUGAUCAGGCCCACUGAAUAGCAAGAGCGAGCAUGUUCCUCUGCUCCCGGGGCCCCACAGCCAAGCCGCCUGGGCCCUGAGUGAUACGCCCCUUUAAUUCACCCCCUCCAUUCUCCAGGGCUGCAUGCCUGGAUGCCAGGUCCCCUCAGACGACUUUCCAGGGGCCUGGGGAGGACGUUUCCAGGGGCCUCCUUUACUCACCUACCAUGUGACCUCUAUUAGGGGUGCCUAUGUCUCUGUGGGCAACAAAACACGGAAUGCCAGGGCCCUCCCAGCCCUUCGGUCCAGCAGUGGUGGGGUGGGCAGGGCUGGCAGGGGCGAUGUCUUGCUCCUGGCUGGCAGCCCUGCGCUCAGGCUUCCACACAGACACCACAUGGAGGAAACACGCCCAGCGGCGCCCGCGCCUGCCCUCCUCCCGCCUCUCACCACAGCUCCUCCAGAGACAGGAUGGGCAGCCACAUCCCUGCAGGCAUGCACCUGGCCAGGGGCAGGGCACAGAGGCAGCGCCAGCGAGAACCUGUCCUUACCGGAUCUGCUUGCUUGCAGAUGCCAGGGUUCCUCUGUCAUGCUGGGCUGAACACCUGGGAGGGGGAUCUGCUCCUGACGCCCCAGGCGUGGGAUGGGCAAAGGCAGGCAUCACUCACAUCUGUGGGAGGGAGGCUGGGCUGGCCUCUGUUCCCAGUGUCCACACGGGCAGGCUGACCUUCACUCCCGGCUCCUUGUACCCAAGGGAAGCAGGCUGUUCCACCUCCUCCUGUGAAAAUGACCCAUCCAGGUAGCAGGUCAAGCAUUUAGUCCACAAACUUUCACGAAGCCCCAAUUCCUCCAGGCACAGGUGGAGGCAUGGGACCCACUCCAGUAAACAGCAGGCUUGUUACACCACUUCACCAAGCUUUUAUUUCAUUUUUAUAAGCUUUUAAAAUAGAGCGGGGAGAAAGCAAACCAGUGGAGGACAACGACGUUGAGAACGGCCUGCGGAUGGCGGCUGGGCAGCGCCGGGUCUGAAGGUCAGGCUUCCCAACUUGAACAAGCUAAGAAGCCAGUGGGGUCACAUCUGCUCCUUUGUGGCCCAUAUUAUUAAAGCAGGACGAGAUGGGAUGACCACACCAGGUAACACGGUCCAAGUCUCAGGUAGCAGCCAGACGUGCCUGAACUCUCUACCCUGUCCGGCACCUGUGCUCCACUCCUCCAACAGCAAGAAGACACAAGGCUUAAAGCGUCUCAUAGCUCAGAAACCACUUCCCCCACUUUUGUCUUCUUCUUCUUUUUGGUGGUGUCCCUGAGCCCAUCUCUCAGCUCAUGCCCACUCUCUGGCACAGCCUUGGUCUUCUUAUUCUUGUUCUCGUUCUUCUUUUUUUUUUUUUGAUUUUUUUUUUUUUUUUGCUGAGGAAGAUUCUCCCUGAGCUAACAUCUGUGCCCAUCUUCCCCUAUUUUGCAUGUGGGUCACCGACACAGCACAGCCACUGAUGAGUAGUGUAGGUCCAGGCCCAGGAACCGAACCUGGGCUGCCGAAGUGGAGUGCACCAAACUCAGCCAGCAGGCCCCAGGCCCAGCCCCCUCUUCUUCUCCUUCUUAACUGGGGAGCCACUAGAGAGGCCUCCUCACGUUCACCCCCACUCCCUCACUUCCACUUUGGGGCAUUUACUGUUUCAGCAACCACCUCUCUGUCUGCAGAAUCGCUGAGAGAGGAGACGUGGCAGCAGGUCAGGUUCUCUGAGCGGCUCUCCAAGGAGGUACCACCGUCUCCUCAGUUCAUCUGUGCUCUCCGGCAAGUCCAAAGUCACCCUCAGAACACCGAGGCUGGACACAACUCCCCCGUGCGCCUGCGGGGCCACACCUUCUCAAGUCCCAUGAGCCCGAGCAGGAGGGGAUACUGUCUGCUUUGUCCUUUUUGUUGCAAUACAAUCUCACAGUCUCAGGGAAGAUGCAAGAAUUGUGCAAAAAAAGAACUCUCAUGUCCCCUUCCCCAGAUUCUCCCAUCAAUAACAUUUGCUUUCUCUCUCUCUCUAAACACAGAUAAAUAAAGAUGCAAGAUAGAAAGAGAGAGAGAGAGGUUUUUUCCCCUGCGCCGUCAUAGAUUAGGUCGCAGAAACCACACCUCUUCACUAAAUAUCUUUGCUUGAUAUCUCAGAGUAUUUCCUAAGAACAAGGACUUUGUCUUAUGUAAUCACAGCACAAUUUUCAAUAUCUGGAAAUGUAACGUGAACAUGGGACUACUACGGAACUCCCAGUUCACACUUACAUUUUGCCAAUUGUCCCCCCAGGCCGGGCUCAAAUCCAGGACCACGUUUUGCACUUACCUGCCAUGUCACUUUAGUCUCCUUUCACCUGCCUUUCUUUGUCUUUCAUGAUUCUAAGUUUUUUGGUAAGAGAACAGGCAGGUUAUUCAGAAUGUCCCAUAAUCUGCAUUUAUUUUACGGGUCCUCAGAAUUACAUUCGAGUUAUGCAUUUUUGUCAAGGAUACUACAGAAGGGAUGUAUAUUUGUUUCUUGUUGCUGCUGUAACAAAUGACUGCAAACUUACCGGCUUAGAAAAACACGAAUUUCUUAUUUUACAGUUUGGGAGGUCAGCCAUCUGACAUGGGUCUCACCGGUUAAAGUCAAAGUGUGACAGGGCUGCGUUCGUUCUGGAGGCUGUAGGGAGAAUCCAUUUCCUUGUCUUUCGGAGGUGCCCACAUACCUUGGCUGGUGGCCCCUUCCUCCAUCUUCAAAGUCAGCAUUGCAGCAUCUUAGAAUCUCUGACUCUUCUGCUAACCUCUUCUAUCUUUUAAGGAUCCUUCUUUUACAUUGGGCCCACCCAGAUAAUCCAGAAUAAUCUCCCUGUCUGAAGAUCCUUAAUUUAAUCUCAUCCGCAAAGACGUGAGAUAACAUCUUCACAGGUUCUGAGUAUCGGGGUGUGGACGUCUCUGGAGGGUCACUAUUCAUCACGUGAUGUUUGUCAUUCUUAGGGAUCACUUCAGGAGGCCUGUGAUGUCAGUCUGUCCCCGUUAUUGGUGACGGUAACUUUGAUAUUUGGUUCUGGCUGUAUUUGCAGGAUUAAUCCACUGUAAUCUAUUUUUACUUUUGUAAAAGUAUUUUUACUUUUGUAAUUUGUAAUUUUACAGUAAACGUGAGGAAGGAACUUUGAAACUGUGUAAAUAUCCUGUUCCUGGUCUCUACCAGAUCGAGCCUCCACUGAUGGCUCCUGCCUGAAUCGAUUAUUGCUGAGAAUCUUGCAAAAUGAUUCUGCAUUUCCACAUUACUUUCUACAGUUAUUACUUAGCAUUUUAUGUAAGGGAGAGCUUUGUCUCCUCCACUGCUUUAUUCAUUUCUUUCAUUGAUGGACUCAAGGAUUCCUUAUUCCAUGAACAUUCUGUUAUUAACGUUAUUUAUUUUGAUGUUCAAAUUGUCCCAGAUUUAGCCAGUGAAACCCCCUUCAAGCUGACUCCUGCAUGCUUUUAACAAGCCCCUGUCGUUUUUUGAAGACUUCCUUGUUUUCUGGCAUAAGAUGUUA
ensembl:lncRNA